AACCGAGAACUCCUACGGGAGGCAGCAGUAGGGAAUCUUCCGCAAUGGACGAAAGUCUGACGGAGCAACGCCGCGUGAGCGAAGAAGGCCUUCGGGUCGUAAAGCUCUGUUGUUAGGGAAGAACAAGUAACGCAGUAACUGGCGUUACCGUGACGGUACCUAACGAGAAAGCCACGGCUAACUACGUGCCAGCAGCCGCGGUAAUACGUAGGUGGCAAGCGUUGUCCGGAAUUAUUGGGCGUAAAGCGCGCGCAGGCGGUUCCUUAAGUCUGAUGUGAAAGCCCACGGCUCAACCGUGGAGGGUCAUUGGAAACUGGAAAACUUGAGUGCAGAAGAGGAAAGUGGAAUUCCAUGUGUAGCGGUGAAAUGCGCAGAGAUAUGGAGGAACACCAGUGGCGAAGGCGACUUUCUGGUCUGUAACUGACGCUGAUGUGCGAAAGCGUGGGGAUCAAACAGGAUUAGAAACCCUUGUAGUCCGACUGAGA
rnacentral:rRNA from 1 species